AUGUUUUUUUUAUCUUCCUUUUUGUGGGUCCACAUUUUGCUAUCCUUUCCCGGGGUUGGUCCUGGGCGGGGGAAUCCACCGUUACCCAGCCUUUACAGACUGGUUUCGCACAGGGGAAGAGCUUUAGCCAUGAGCUUGGGUAGAGUUCUUAGGCGGUUCUCACAGCAGCCCAGGGCCGCGCCUUCUCGAAGCUUCCUUGGCUUACAGUUUCCACUUCCGGGCACCAUUGCUGUCUCCAGGGCUCGCACUCUCUCCCUCCCCCUGGCGUCUCUGGGCAGGACUGCGCGUGCGGCCUCGGCAGGCCCCGCGCUCAUUGGCCAAGUGCAUCUGACGUCAGCCCCCACUUCCGGCGCUCCGGGGGGCGCGCCCGCCUCAGGACGCUGGAACCUCCUACGUCUCCGGCUCCUGUCAGAGGACCGGGAGGUGCGCCGCUUCUCGGGUCGCGCUGAGCGGUGCCGCCUCAAGGGAAGGACCGUCUGGGGGGGGAAAAUGCCACAGCUUCCCCCAUCCCGCCCUUUUCAUCCGUCGUUUCAACAGAGCUCCCCUUGGCUUGGCGCUUGCCUGAGUUGUGGGGCCUGGAAGCUUGGUAGUGUGAGGCCCAGGCAAGAGGGUGAAUGACGUGGACAGAGUCUUGGGAUGAAGCUGGGAAUGUGGUAGACCACACUGGAUUGGAAAAUAUAUUUUGGUAAGUAAUUUUUAAGUGUUGUAAUGAAGCAAAAUAAAAAGAGGUUGAUUUCUGUUAAAAUGGUUUAU
rnacentral:lncRNA from 12 species